UCUCCUAAUCCUCAUACCCCUUUCCCAUCUCUAACAUAGACUAUCUCCCUUUUUCUAUCAUCUCUAUUUUAUUUUGUUCUAACUUAUUUAUAUUUUGGGUUUCUCAGAUAAGGGAAACCAUGCAUUACUUAACCUUUGGUAUCUGAUGCAUUUCACUUAGUAUUGUGGUCUCAAGGUACAUCCAUUUUCCUACCAAAGACUCACACUGAUCCUGCUUUAAGUAGCAUUGGUCCUUUACAUCCUGUCUCCUUGGCUUUUCCUGAUUCUUCUCCCCAUCACCCACAUCCGUGAUACACAGUCAUGGAGCGAUGACCAAUCAGCACUUUCUUUCCUGGAUACGCUGUUUCCACAAGAAGGCUGAAGCCCUAUCCAGCUGGUACAAAUUAUAAGAAGAAGCAGAGAGAAUUCAGCAUUGAGUAGAGGACCUCAAGCAGCCAGUGGACUGAAAUUGUUUCCAGCAACUAAACAGCUCUGUUCAUGCUUCUGCCCUACUGCCUGUUCUCUGUGCCUCCAAAAUACUGUACUGCCUUUGAGAAAUGAAUAAGGGGUCAUGAUUCAUCUUUAACAGGGUGCUGUCUUUUAUUUGGAACUGUUUUCACUCAGUGAUGUUUUUACCCAAAAGAAAUAAAUUUCUGGUCCUUUAUACAAUGCAAAGGAAGUCAGCUGUUCAAGAAGCUCAUUUAAGUUCAUGAGGAGGCACAGAAAACAAAUUGUGAGAAAGGCGAAACUGAAGUGUUCGUGCUGGUCUCGCUCAGAUGUAAGCUGCAAAGUACAACUGCCAUGAAUUAUUGUGCCACCCUAGUUGCAAAAGGACCACUGCAAAAAUUCAAUCAUCUGGGUGUGAUGGCCCAGCCAGGUAACUGGGAUGUUAAAGAAGGAGGAUGUCUAAACCCCAGAAGUUCAAGGUCAACCUGGAAAAGAUAGCAAGACCUAGCCUCUGAAACAAACAAACAAACAAAACACCCACCAAGAAACACAAAGAAUGCAACCAGUAAAGAAUCUGGGUCAUAAGACACUCCUCUAAUAUCACUGUGUGUUGGUACGGACGUUAUAAUGUCUGAAACACAUUUUCCUGUGUAGAAUCCUC